rnacentral:tRNA from 1 species
AAUAAGAUGCCUGAUAAAAGGAUUAUUUUGAUAGAAUAAAUCAUGUAGCAAGCUACUCUUAUUA